UUUUAACCCAUUUAACAAUACUGAUUAUACUGUGGGGACGAAAGUCUCUGCUUUUAACUAGAUAGCAACUUUCAGCAGUGGAUGUCUAGGCUCGCACAUCGAUGAAGAACGCUGCGAACUGCGAUACGUAAUGCGAAUUGCAGGAUUCAGUGAGUCAUCGAAAUUUUGAACGCAUAUUGCACUUCCGGGUUAGUCCUGGGAGUAUGCCUGUAUCAGUGUCCGUACAUCAAACUUGGCUUUCUUCCUUCCGUGUAGUCGGUGGAGGAUGUGCCAGAUGUGAAGUGUCUUGCGGUUUGUGUGCCUUCGGGCCGAGGCUGCGAGUCCUUUGAAAUGUACUGAACUGUACUUCUCUUUGCUCGAAAAGCGUGGUGUUGCUGGUUGUGGAGGCUGCCUGCGUGGCCAGUCGGCGACCGGUUUGUCUGCUGCGGCGUUUAAUGGAGGAGUGUUCGAUUCGCGGUAUGGUUGGCUUCGGCUGAACAGACGCUUAUUGUAUGCUUUUCCUGCUGUGGCGUGAUGGGCUGGUGAACCGUAGCUGUGUGUGGCUUGGCUUUUGAAUCGGCUUUGCUGUUGCGAAGUAGAGUGGCGGCUUCGGCUGUCGAGUGUCGAUCCAUUUUGGGAACUUUUGUGUGCGCUUUCGAGUGUGCAUCUCAAUGGACCUG
rnacentral:rRNA from 1 species